rnacentral:rRNA from 1 species
AGAGUUUGAUCCUGGCUCAGGAUGAACGCUAGCUACAGGCUUAACACAUGCAAGUCGAGGGGAAACGACAUCGAAAGCUUGCUUUUGAUGGGCGUCGACCGGCGCACGGGUGAGUAACGCGUAUCCAACCUGCCCACCACUUGGGGAUAACCUUGCGAAAGUAAGACUAAUACCCAAUGACGUCUCUAGAAGACAUCUGAAGGAGAUUAAAGAUUUAUCGGUGAUGGAUGGGGAUGCGUCUGAUUAGCUUGCUGGCGGGGUAACGCCACAAGGCGACGAUCAGUAGGGGUUCUGAGAGGAGGUCCCCCANAUUGGAACUGAGACACGGUCCAAACGUCCUACGGGAGCA